GAACCCAUGUCUCCUGCAUUGGCAGGCAGAUCCUUUACCACUAAGCCACCAGGGAAGCCAAGAAUAGUGUCUUCAACAGGGAUUGUUGAAGAAACAAUGGGUACAUUGAGGCAGGUUGAUCUUAGAGAGGGACGUGGCUUGAUCCAUGUGCCAAAUUCUCACCUCAACACACAUUUUCGCAUUUCUCAAGAUAUCUAGUUUAGUAUGCUUGGUGGGAACCCACCCUGGAAGUUUAACAACUGUAAAAUGAGGAUGGGGGCAGAUUUUGAGUAGAGAGGAGGAUGAAGAGGAAGAAAGAGGAAGAAAACAGGAGAGGAUGGAGCUAGAGCCUUCAAAUGUGUAAAAAUGUUUCUGUCUUCACAGACAUUAAGUACCAGGACUUCAUCUGUCUUGCCAUCCCCAUAUUUUGCCAGUACUGCAACUGGAACUCCAGGUCUGCCAUGGAGACAAUCUCAUGAUGACAUUACGUUCCAGGAAGUCUUGCUGAAUGCACAGCUGCGGCAGCCCUGGCUCCCCCCUCAUUCCUCCGGAAGCCUGCAAUUUGUGUUGUUUUAGGCUCUGUGGCCCAGGAAGCAUUAUCAGAUGGAAGUGUGCCACCUCCCCACCCCGGCCCCCAGUGCUGUCUUUGUGGCCAGUGAAGUAAAUGCAUCUUGUGCCUCUUAAGAAAUGUGGGACAGGAGGUCGGGUGGAGCCCUGCCAGUGUGACCGGGGAGGUGCGUCAGUGGCUCAGUGACAGGUGGCAGAGGCCAAGGGCUUGGGAAUCACUUACAGUCACGGAGAUUUCUUUCUCUUUCAGCCUUUGCCCUCUGAUGGGAAUGAAGCAGCAGGCCGCCAAGCCACACAACGGAAGCCUGAAAUGAGACGACUUGGGCAAUUUGCACAAGAGUUUCCUUCUUUAAAUAAUUACAGAGUCACUAUCCCUGGGGGCAUUUGCUUAUUGGCUGCCUUCACAGUCUUCUUCUUCUUUUUUUAGAGCAAGUCUCUUAAAGACACUGCUCUUGGUCUUACAUGCACUUGCCCAGACUUGUCUUCUUCUUAUAGUACUGAUGUUCUACUGUUCAAAAGUUAGGAAGGAGCUGACUCUGAGCUGGAAACAAGGGCAGCAGAAGGUUGAGACAGUGGGCUCAUUUUGUGCAUAAGUCCCAGAGAGAGAGAGUGCUAGCCAUUGUGGGAGGUGGGUUUGAGGGGUUGGAUGUGCAAAAUGGGGUCUAGCUGGCAGCCCCUGGGUAAUCUGCUGAUGGUGGUUUGGAAAUGGCAACUGUUGAAAAACACUGACAACUGGGGUUGUUUCUCAUCUGAAACAUGGUGUCUGCACUGACUGUAAAUGUUCCCCACAGGGAAAUUGGCAAGGGUGUGCUGGUAAACUGGCUCUUUGGAAAGAAAAAAAAGGAGGGUUGGUUUGUAACCUUUAGUACAUACUCUGACUCUGGCACAUUUCCAGCUACCACGGUUAAUCUGCCUGCCAAAAUCCCAAAUGUUUAACACUCUUCUCUCUGGAACAGAUGCCAGCAGCUCCAGCCUUCCACUGGCUAAGAAACAAAUUUCUACUUGCCCCUCACAGGCCAGCUUUGGGUCCACAUGCAAUAUUCCCCCUGCCCCAAAUUUAAAAAAAAAAAAAAAAAAAAAGGUUGGUUUCAGUUUUGCACUUAUUUCAUGUGUGCUUCUUGGCAAGGGCUUUACUUUUUCCAAACAUAGCUCUCUCUUUUGAAAAACAAGAGUUCAGGUUAUGCCAUGUAGCAUCUCUGUGAAGCUCACACCACUCUUCCCUAAGAACUACAUCUUCUGUCUCAUGGUGCCAUGCUUGGGUUAAGAGAUUCUGCACCUGUGGCCUGAGCUGAUUAAACAGAUUGAUUGGCCAGGGGCCAGUCAGAUCUCUCCCUUGAUGAUUAGCCCAAAGCAAUCCCAAGCUUGAAUUUGUGAGUGGAGGGGCAGAGAGAGGGGGACCCAAACCGAGGAAGUCCUCUGCCACCUACCACAUCCCUCAAUCUAUCUGCUCUUUGCUUUGAUUGUUCAGCUUUGUCUUGGAGUCGUGGAGAUAUCCCAGUUGCUUCCAAUAAACUUUCUUCUAGCUCUCGGGCCAGUGAGAGUAGGAGUUUGUAAAUUUGGACUAAGACUGACAUUUCAAGGAUUAGCAUAAAAGAAUAGAAGAAAAGUGUGAAGAAUGAAAAUGCUGCCAAUAAAGGACAAAAAA